rnacentral:rRNA from 1 species
AAAACACAGCUCUCUGCAAGUCGUAAGAGACGUAUAGGGAGUGACACCUGCCCGGUGCCGGAAGGUUAAGGAAGGAGGUUAGCCGUAAGGCGAAGCUUUCGGACCGAAGCCCCGGGUAAACGGCGGCCGUAACUAUAACGGUCCUAAGGUAGCGAAAUUCCUUGUCGGGUAAGUUCCGACCUGCACGAAUGGUGUAACGAUCUGGGCGCUGUCUCAGCUGUGAGCUCGGUGAAAUUGUAGUCUCGGUGAAGAUGCCGAGUACCCGCCACGGGACGGAAAGACCCCGUGCACCUUUACUAUAGGUUGACAUUGACGCUGGACAACACAUGUGUAGCAUAGGUGGGAGACGUUGAGCCAGGGCCGCUAGGUUUUGGGGAGUCGCCGUUGAAAUACCACCCUUGUGUUGUUUGGUGCCUAAUCUGGAAACGGAAACAGUGUCUGCUGGGUAGUUUGACUGGGGUGGUCGCCUCCAAAAGAGUAUCGGAGGCUUUCAAAGGUCUGCUCAAUCCGCUUGGUAACCGGAUGUAGAGCGCAAUAGCAGAAGCAGGCUUGACUGUGAGGCCUACAAGCCGAGCAGGGUCGAAAGA